CAAAAUAAAUAAAUAUUGUAUAUGCCACGGACCCUAUCAAAUUCAUUUUGAACAAAAUUUAAUUUGAUUUGCCGCCGUUUAUAUAAUCUUUUGGUCGUAGUUACUAUAAAAUAAAACCAAAUUUUCUCGGUCGAAACAUAACGUACUCCAAACACCAUGAAACUACAGCUGUUGGCAUUAUUAUUGUAUUUGAGCCAUAUGUGCGAGGGGCAAACAGCAGGAUCCUGUCACUAUUUCAGCGAGACAAAGAUGGAUUGGUUUGAAGCAUUAUUCACAUGCCAACGAAAGCAAAUGUGUUUGGCAAACAUAAAAACACAGCGUACGUUUGAGGAAUUUGAAAAGAAACUAUUAGGAAAUUUUCGGGAUGAGUUUUGGUUUGGUCUAAAUGGAUAUGAGAAGUAUACAUUCAAAUAUGCUGCAGAUGGCGCACCGCUUGGCUAUAUGCCACCAGAAGCGAUGAUUCAUUUAGAUAAGCCCUGUGCUUUCGUCAAACCCCUUGGUAAAACACAUUUCACCUUUGAAACGGGCAAUUGUGGACGACCCAGACGAUUCGUGUGCUCCGCAGCACGCAAAUGCAACGGCAAGGAUACAAAUAGCACAUUUUCGCCAUCCCUUACGGCCGAACUGCCAUGUGAAAUCACAAGAGACAUCUUAGGAAAGCUUGGUAUAAAGCCCACAGGCACAGAGGAUUAUUGAAUAGAAAAAGCUCAUCAAAAUUUACCUAUCAUUGAGCUAAGCAAAAUGAUUACAAACUUUAAAUUGCUGUGAAACUUUAAAUUCAAUUUCACGAACUUGCGAGUUUAA